UACGAAGGGGGCUAGCGUUGCUCGGAAUCACUGGGCGUAAAGGGUGCGUAGGCGGGUCUUUAAGUCAGGGGUGAAAUCCUGGAGCUCAACUCCAGAACUGCCUUUGACACUGAGGAUCUUGAGUUCGGGAGAGGUGAGUGGAACUGCGAGUGUAGAGGUGAAAUUCGUAGAUAUUCGCAAGAACACCAGUGGCGAAGGCGGCUCACUGGCCCGAUACUGACGCUGAGGCGCGAAAGCGUGGGGAGCAAACAGG
rnacentral:rRNA from 1 species